rnacentral:rRNA from 1 species
GUGGGGAAUAUUGGGCAAUGGGGGAAACCCUGACCCAGCAACGCCGCGUGAGGGAAGAAGGUUUUCGGAUUGUAAACCUCUGUCCUUGGUGACGAAGGAAGUGACGGUAACCAAGGAGGAAGCCCCGGCUAACUACGUGCCAGCAGCCGCGGUAAUACGUAGGGGGCAAGCGUUGUCCGGAAUGACUGGGCGUAAAGGGCGUGUAGGCGGCCGAUUAAGUCUGGAGUGAAAGUCCUGCUUUCAAGGUGGGUAUUGCUUUGGAGACUGGGUGGCUUGAGUGCGGAAGAGGUAAGUGGAAUUCCCAGUGUAGCGGUGAAAUGCGUAGAGAUUGGGAGGAACACCAGUGGCGAAGGCGACUUACUGGGCCGUAACUGACGCUGAGGCGCGAAAGCGUGGGGAGCGAACAGGAUUAGAAACCCUUGUAGUCC